rnacentral:rRNA from 1 species
AGCGAACGCUGGCGGCAGGCCUAACACAUGCAAGUCGAACGAACCUUCCGUGGUUAGUGGCGGACGGGUGAGUAACACGUGGGAACGUGCCUUUAGGCUCGGAAUAACUCAGGGAAAUUUGUGCUAAUACCGAAUGUGCCCUUCUGGGGCCAGAUUUAUCGCCCUUAGAGCGGCCGGCGUUCGUUUAGCUAGUUGGUUGAGGUAAUGGCUCACCAAGGCUACCAUCAGUAGCUGGUAUGAGAGAAAGAUCACCCACAUUGGUACUGAGACACAGCCCAGAAUCCUACGGGAGGCGGCAGUGGGGGAUCUUGCGAAAUGGGCGAAGGCCUGAAGCAGCCAUGCCGGGUGAAUGAUGAAGGUCUUAGGAAAGUAAAGUUGUUUCACCGGGGGCGAUAAUGACGGUACCCGGAGAAGAAGCCCCGGCUAACUUCGUG